UCCUCAUGGAUCCUAGCUGGGUUUGUAACCUGCUGAGCCACGACGGGAACUCCCCUCCUGGAUCUUGAUCGCACAGGAUGAGCUUCAUAAAGUUCUGGGGAGGAACGGCCCCUGUCAUGUUCUUUGCGGGGGCCAAAUGACAUUGGAUGCGAGCACGGAGGGUGUGAGCAUGGAGGGCAAGGUGGCACAGGAGUGGCUAAAGCACAGCUUGAGUGGGGCUGUCGUGGGCACAGCCCUAGGCUAGUGUGUGAGCUGAGGAUUCCUCGGAUCCUCGCUGCUCUUUGAAAAACCUGUGUGCCUGGGGGAGAGGCUGGGGGUUGUGGUCGCUAUAGGACCCCUGGCCCUCCCGGGCCCCGGGCGCCUUGAUUUGGAAACGAGAUCCCAGUUUCUGCUGGCCCCUUUCUUUAGGGCUGUGCUUGUCAGCUGACCUGAACGGGGACAGAGAUAAGACUUCUAUUUCUGGGCGGGCUAGCAGAGGAUGGGAGCGGAGCAGCCAUGACCUUGAGUGAAGAGGCAAUCAAGGACUCCCUUCCUCCAGCUCCCAUCCUGGCUCUGAGGCUGGAGAAAAGUAAGGGGUACUGAGUGAUAAGUGCAUGCCAAGCUCCCCCGUCUAAUUCCGCCUUCCUCUCAGGUAGGGGCAAGGCUGCCCAUCUGGUGGGGAGUCCUUUCUUCACCGAAGGCCAGGGCACUGCCUGUUCAGGGCUCGGCUGCUGGGAGCUCGGUCCAGGAGGCACGUCCCUGAUGAAGUUCUUCAGGGAGAAGGUCUCUGCCUCGUUGCCACACCCACUUCUGCACCCACCUUCUCCACUGGGACGUCCCUGACCUUGGCUUCAGCCUCUGCUCCUGGAACCCUGGGUGGUGGAGGUGCAGAUGGGGGAUGCAAGUGGUCCUGGUGGCUGGAGUCAAGGUGAGGAGAGGAGGGAGAGCAGGCUGGGUGCCACAGUGAGUUCCAGUGAGUUCAGACCCCUGUGGCUGCCUCCUUGCCCAGGGACAAAGGACAACGGUAGACCAGCCCGGAGGACACCAAGAACACUAGCCGUGGAGUUCCCGCUGUGGCUCAGUGGUAAUGAACCCGACUGGGAUUCCUGAGAACACAGGUUCCAUCCCUG